GCCAUUGCAUUGGUGUUUUUUUUCCACCAUUUUGGGAAUGGGGCCGGAUCCAUUUGGAUUUAGAAAAAUUGCAUGGUUUUGACUUAAAUUGGGAAAUAAGACUCGUCUACUGAAUGUAAUAACUAGGGUAACUGACAUUUUGUGAAUUGUUCAGGAAUGCAUAUUUUCAGACAUUUUUUAAAAUACAGUAAGAGCACUUACCUUAUUUUUUGCGCUCUAAAUUUGUCAGUGUUGAAAUUAUGGUAACUGCUCCUUUCUUGAUUUUUUUAUUGUUUUAAAAAAGACAUAUCAAUUUGGAGUUUUGUUUCGUUUUUCAAGUGUUAUUAUAAUGCUAAUCAGAAAAAUUGAAUACUGAAAAAUGUUUAUUAUUUUAAUAAAACAUUUUUUGCUUCUCCUGAAAAUUUAACAAAAUGUCAGUUACGCUACUUUUUACAUUCAGAAAAUGACAUGUGUUUGUUAAGUCAAUUUCGAAAAUUUGAUAUAAACAUUAUUUUUACCAAAAAGGUUGACUUAAUAUUUUAACAGUUGAUGUAUGUCACCUAAAUAAACACAAAAAUGUAAAAAAUUAAAAAUGUAUAAAAAUGUCAGUUACAUGACUUAUUACAUUCAGUAGGCAAAGUGUUGGUUUCCUUGCAAACAAAUACUUUAAAAUUCAAUAUAAAAAUGUUUUCAGUAUUGUAUUUUCUUAGGUUCAGUUUAUGGAGCUGGAUGGGAGGUCAACUGAAUGUUGAGCUUUAUUUUUACAAAAAAGAAAGAUAUUAUGUAGUGAAUUUUCAAAGCGAGAAAGAAAACAAAGCUGCAAUUCAAAAGUUAAAAAAGUAUUUGCAGACUUCUUGAAAAAACAAUAGUAAAAGAAUGUUUCUGUUAUGAACUUGUACAAAAAUGAAACAAAUAAGGAACUUUUUACGCAAGCACAAACUUGAAGAAAAAACUUUCAUUAACAUGGCUUCACAUUUAGGUGUUUAUAAUAUGUGGUGGCCAAGCUUUUCCACUUUUUACUUUCUAUUACAUGAUUACUACAUCACAAUACAACUUGCAGUGCUGGGAUAUUUAUCACUAAAGAAACAAGCUCUUGUUCUGUUAAAUUAUUUGUUUAACAUGCUUUCAGUUGAAUACAGGUUUUUAUUAAUGAAAAAUAUUUCAUAUUUUUAAGUGAGUGAAAAUGUAAGGAAAAAGAACAGUUUCACUCGUAGUUAUGGGGCUUGUGAUUAUAUCUGUUUUUAAGGGGUGUUGCGGCAGUUUAUUUAACCGAGGAUAUAUUUAGAGCAACACUGCUAUUUUCACAACUCAAUAUUUUUGUUAUCAGUAUCAUCAGAAAUGACCGAGUUGGUUCAUAAUACAAUUGUCAGUGGUUUGAUCCCAGGCGGGGUAAACUUUUGUUUUACUUUUUUUUCUUUCUUUAAUUUCAUACUUGUUUUAUACUGGAGCUCUUUAGACCUGUUGUUUACAUUUAUCAAUUUAAAGCAUUUAAAUACAAACUUCAAAACAUGCCGAAAAUCUGUGAACAUGUAAGUUAUUAAUGAUUAAGGUCGAGUUUGAUACUGUAUGGUAUUAUGGUUGUGAUUAAAUAUUGUUUUUAGCUCACCUGAGCACAACGUGCUCAAGGUGAGCUUUUGUGAUUGCCUUUUGUCCGUCGUCCGUCGUGUGACGUCAACAUUUGCCUUGUUCACUCUCUAGAGGCCACGUUUAUUGUCCAAUCUUCAUGAAAUUUGGUCAGAAGAUUGUUUUCAAUGAUAUCUUGGAUGAGUUCGAAAAUGGUGACGUUUGCUUGAAAAACAUGUCUGCCAAGGGGCGGGGCAUUUUUCCUGAUAUGGCUAUAUAUGGCUAUAGCAAAAUCUUGUUAACACUCUAGAGGCCACAUUAAUUGUCCGAUCCUCAUAAAACUUGGUCAGAAGAUUCAUCCCAAUAAUAUCUUGGACGAGUUUGAAAAUGAUGUCGGUUUGUUGAAAAACAUGGCUGCCAGGGGGCGGGGCAUUUUUCCUUAUAUGGCUAAAGUAAAACCUUGUUAACACUCUAGAGGCCACAUUUUUUUUCCGAUCUUCAUGCAACUUGCUCAGAAGAAUUGUCCCACUGAUAUCUUGGAUGAGUUCAGAAAUGGUUACAUUUGCUUGAAAAACAUGGCUGCCAAGGGGCGGGCAUUUUUCCUUAUAUGGCUAUAUAUGACUAUAGUAAAAUCUUGUUAACACUCUAGAGGCCACAUUUAUUAUCCAAUCUUCAUGAAACUUGCUCUGAAGAUUCAUCCCGAUAAUAUCUUGGACGAGUUCAAAAAUGAUGCCAGUUGGUUGAAAAACAUGGCUUCCAGGGGGCGGGGCAUUUUUCCUUAUAUGGCUAUAGCAAAAUCUUGUUAACACUCCAGAGGCCACAUUUAUUUUCCGAUAUUCAUGAAACUUGGUCAGAAGAUUUAUCCCAAUAAUAUCUUGUUAUCUCAGGUGAGCGACUUUGGGCCUUUCAGGCCCUCUUGUUUAUUAAUGUCUUUUGGUAAGCUGUUGUGAUCCCAGUUAAGAUUGUAAACAAUUUCUAAUAUUUAUGUUUAUUUCUGACUAUCUAUGUACUGGUACUUGGGUUUUGUCUUAUUGCUGUUUUUAACCAGGUUUUCCGAAGGAAAAAACUGGUUAUUAGAUUGGCGAAUGCGGGCGGGCUGGCUGGCUGGCGGGCUGGCUGGCUGGCGGGCUGGGGGAAUAAGCUUGUCCGGGCCAUAACUAUGUCGUUCAUUGUCAGAUUUUAAAAUCAUUUGGCACAUUUGUUCACCAUCAUUGGACGAUGUGUCGCGCGAAAUAAUUACGUCGAUAUCUCCAAGGUCAAGGUCACACUUUGAGUUCAAAGGUCAAAAAUGGCCAUAAAUGAGCUUGUCCUGGCCAUAACUAUGUCAUUCAUUGUGAGAUUUUAAAAUCAUUUGGCACAUUUGUUCACCAUCAUGGGACGGUGUGUCCCACGAAAGAAUCACGUCAAUAUCUCCAAUGUCAAGGUCGCCACGACUAAAAAUAGAUUAAAAAAAAAAAAAAAACUUACAAA